rnacentral:tRNA from 1 species
GACUUCAUGGCCCAAUGGAUAAGGUGCUGGUUUACGAAACUAGAGAUUUUGGGUUCGAUCCUUAGUGAAAUCG